CUCCAUGGACAGGGAUGCUACUCACGUCUGGGAUUGCCCCAACCCAGGUACAGUACCUUGCACUUGUUGAAAUUUAUUAGGUCUGCAUGGGACCACUUUUCUAGUUUGUCCAGGUCCCUUUGGAUGACACUGCUUCCUUCUCUUACGUCAACUGUACCACUCAGCUUAGCACUGUCUGCAAACUUUAUGAGGGAGCAUUCCGUCCCAUUGUUUAUGUCACUGAUAAAGAUAUUAAACAGCACCAGUCCCAAGAUGGACUCCUGAGGGACUCAUCACCAGCCUCCACUUAGACACAGAGCCGUUGAUUGCAACUCUCUGGAUGCAGCUGUCCAGCCAAUUCUUUAUCCACCAAAUAGUCCACCCUUCAAAUCCAUAUAUCUCCUAUUUAGCGAUAAGGGUGUUGCAUGGGACUGUGUCAAAGGCUUUACAGAAAUCUAGGUAGAUGACAGUGGUCAGUCUUCCCUUGAAGUAUAUAUGAACAAACACAUGCAAACAGAGAUAAAUAUCACUUGUAUUAAAAAAUCCAGAAUCAUUCUGAAGUUUUACUCAUAUAGUUUAAAGAAAAGCCAGUGAAAUGAUAUGGAUGGAUGUUCCCUGAGACCUAAGGAAGAAGUGUCUCAACCAAUCAGCAAUAAUGCAAAGUAUCCCUGGCUUUUAGAAAGGAAUGCUACAGUGACACCAGUGGAUAUCAGUGAGCAUACUGCCAAUAUAAAUAUUGAAACUGAUAAAAAAAUCAUUUGUGGUCAUAAAAUACACUGCAUAAUGCAACACAGUAUGGGAUAACCCCAAACUAGCUUUCGGUAAGUUUGAACCUCUAUUUGAAGUGGCAGACUGUCAAGCAGAGAGAUACUAGCUUAGAUUCUGGAACAGCAUUGAAGUGUCAGUCUUAUACAGCAUCAUAAGAAAUUAUCUCAAAGGUAGGAGGAAUUAGUUUGACGCAGCUCUGCUGAAAUGACUAUACUGGUUAUAGGUCUACAGCUAAUUCUGUCUGUGAUAAAUUGGGAAAUCUCUGCACUACUCUUGAAGUACAGUCAUAAGGAUUUAUGCUAAGGCCAGCACACACCAGAAAAAAAAUUAUUUGAAAUAUUUAGACAUUGCAAUAAUUAGACUACUACUUCAGAAUCCAGCAAAAAUUUAUAAUUAUUAAUACUGUAUCAAUUGGUAAUGUUACUAGUAUCAUCUGGUGGCAAGAGAAAAAAAAUACGGAAAAAAAAAAGAUAAACUGCAUUUUUUGAUCUCUUGGUAAUACUUAAGAUUAGAAGGAAUAAACUAAUCACAUAAUUAUUCUCA
rnacentral:lncRNA from 1 species